UGGGUUUAUACAAUCAUUAUCAUUAGUUCACUAACAUUAAGUAAUUAGUUCACUAUAAUUAAACUAAUAAUUAAUACCCACAUUGGUUUAUACAAUCAUUAAUGUCACUAAGAAAUACCCAAUAGGAAGGCAAACCGUGCGCAUGGUUUUUGUAGGUACAGUGUGAAACGUGUUUUACCAUAUUUACGUGUGAUUAUUCAACCUCACUUUUUUUAUAAUAAUAUUAUUUGGAAUUUCGAUAGUUUUUGGAUUGUGUUGUGUUAUGAUGGACGACGACGAAGUGUUUGCAGCUUUUUUAUUGCUGACUACAGCCGCGAUGCUCUAUUUAAAACGUAAAAAAAGAGUACGCAGGUACAAAGUGCGACCUAUUAAUCGCAACAGAAUAGUACAUGGACAAUUUCAUAAACGUGUAAGACGUAUGCGAGAAAUGGACCAUGAACAAUACUUUAAAUAUACAAGAAUGACACCGGCAGUAUUUGAUAAUUUGUUAAGCAUUGUUGGACCACAUCUGCAGAGACACAAGAAAAAAUCACAUAUUUCUCCAGCUGAGCGACUAACCUUAACAUUACAUUAUCUGGCCGAAGGAUGCUCUAUGCAAGAGAUUGCAACAAAUUUUUACAUGGGGAAAACGACUGUUCAUAUCAUAAUUAAGCAAACAUGCUCAGUUUUAUGGGAUGUGUUGUCACCCAUACAUUUAAAACCGCCAACUGGAACUGAAUUUGUAAAGAUUUCCAAAGGUUUUUAUCAAAGGUGGAACAUGCCUAAUUGCCUUGGUGCUUUAGAUGGCAAGCACAUUCAAAUUCAAGCUCCUGCACAUAGUGGCAGUGAUUUUUUUAAUUAUAAAAAAACUAGCAGUAUUGUUUUAAUGGCAGCAUGUGAUGCUUUUUACCGUUUUACGUUGGUUGAUGUUGGUGGUUAUGGCUCACAACAUGAUAGCAUUGUAUUCUCAGAAUCUGCAUUUGGUCAAGCCAUUUUAAAAAAUCAAAACGAUGUUCUUGAUUUACCCGAUGCUAAACAACUACCUGGAACUUCAGUUUCAUUACCUUUUUUUUUGUGGCAGAUCAGGCUUUUCCACUGCAUAAACGUAUUAUGCGACCCUAUCCAGGGGAACGACUAGGGGAAAAUAAAGAAAUAUUUAACUACAGGUUGUCCCGUGCUCGACGAACGAUUGAAAAUACAUUCGGUAUCCUGUCAGCACGUUGGAGAAUCUUUCGGCGACCGAUUGUCGCUAAUGUGACAACCUGUGAGGCUAUUGUUAAGGCAUGUGUUGUUCUUCACAAUUUCCUCCAAGUUAAAGAAGAGGACAUACCAAUGGGUAGCAGAAAGUAUUGUCCUACUGGAUUUGGAGACGAGGUAGAUAUAAAUGGGGGCCUGCGUCCGGGACAAUGGCGCAAUGAAUCAAACAUGUUACGUCCAGUUGGUCGGCUUGGUUCUAAUUUUUCAACCCGGAUUGUACGGCAAAAUCGAGAAUUAUUAACCGCCUACUUUGCCAGUGCACAAGGAAAAGUAAGCUGGCAAUAUGACCAUAUUGCAGAAGGCUCUCUGCCAAGUUAAAAUUGAACAAAUUAUACUAACAUUUUAUAUGCAUGCAUUGUAUUUUUUCUUAAUAUUGUUCCAUAUAAAUAUAUAUAGAAAUAAACCUAUGGUACUAAAAUACUUAUAUAUACAUCGA